UACGAAGGGGGGCUAGCGUUGUUCGGAAUUACUGGGCGUAAAGCGCGCGUAGGCGGUGAUCUUUGUCAGAGGUGAAAGCCUGGGGCUCAACUCCAGAAUUGCCUUUGAAACGGGAUCGCUUGAGUCCGAGAGAGGAUGGCGGAAUUCCUAGUGUAGAGGUGAAAUUCGUAGAUAUUAGGAAGAACACCGGUGGCGAAGGCGGCCAUCUGGCUCGGUACUGACGCUCAGGCGCGAAAGCGUGGGGAGCGAACAGG
rnacentral:rRNA from 1 species